UUGCAAAUAAGCAAUUGCAAUAACAUAAACUUCUCUCUAUUUCAAUUCAAACAAUGCUUUGUUUCGUAAUCAUGGACUUCAUUUCUAUGUUCUUCCCUAUCUUCCUAGUCAAACUUGUCCUCAAAUUAAGGUAUGUCAAUUCCCUCAUCAUCACGCGUCUCUUCCAAGCAACCUUCCACCACUACCACCCUUAAUUUAUUUCUCCUUUUCUCUCUAUUUAUCACUUCCCAAUUUUCACAACAACCCUAACAUUUUUUCUUUCUCUUCUCCAAAUCCCUAAAUACAAAUCAUGAAGCUUCCCUCCUUUCAUCUCCACCCAAGAUCCCUGAACACUGCCCAUUCAAAUUCCCCAUAAAAGUUUCAAUUUUGAUUUUUGGGCAAUCCUUCAUUCAAUUUUUCCCCAUGCCACCUCAAAUGCAGCCCUUCCCGGAUUACCUUCGCACCGCGUCACAUGCAGACGACGGUGAGAGGCGGACCCCAUUGCUGAACCGAACCGUGAAGAAGUCGUUGGCAGUAGAAGAGUCCUCCUUGGACAAUCCGGAUCUGGGCCCGUUUCUCGUUUCCACUGUGAGGGAGGUGUGGCUGGCAAUGGAGGUGUCGGAGGAAAGACAGUAGCCGGUGGAGCCGCUGUAGGGAGUGUUAGCGGUGAAGGGAAGAAUGCCUCAGCUGCAUAAACCCUUAUUUGGGUUGAGGGGUUAAUGUCAGGUGGGAAUAAUGGAGAAUUAGCUCCAAAAAUUAAGGGAUUUGAUUGUUAGAAAAAAAAGAAAAAAAGAAAUUGGGAACUAUUAACAUGGAAGAGAGAGAAAAAUCUGGAUAGUAGAGGAGAGAAGAUGGACAACAGAGGAAGCUAGACAGUAGAGGGUAAAAAAGGAAAAAACACGCCAUGCAAUUAACGCCGUUGGUGCAAACUUAACGGAGAGGACUUGAUUCACGCAAAUUUUAUAACUUUGGGACUCAUUGUCAUCACUUUUAAAACCGGGUACAAAACAGAAAUCUAGUCCCCAACUUGGGGACUAAAAAGGUAUUUAAGCCUAAUAAUAAUAAUACCAUUUGUAGUUGUAAUAUUAAUACUAAACUAAUAAAUCAAAUAUUGCGCAAUAUUACUACUACAUUUAAUCAAAUAAUACUACGACUG
rnacentral:lncRNA from 1 species